UUUUAUAUAGUUUAAUAAAAAUAUUAUAUUUUCAUUAUAAAGUUAAUAAAUAUUUAUUUAUAAAUA
rnacentral:tRNA from 1 species